rnacentral:rRNA from 1 species
AACCGUGUACGUACAAGCAGUGGGAGCACAGGUUUACCUGUGUGACUGCGUACCUUUUGUAUAAUGGGUCAGCGACUUAUAUUCUGUAGCAAGGUUAACCGUAUAGGGGAGCCGGAGGGAAACCGAGUCUUAACCGGGCGUUAAGUUGCAGGGUAUAGACCCGAAACCCGGUGAUCUAGCCAUGGGCAGGUUGAAGGUUGGGUAACACUAACUGGAGGACCGAACCGACUAAUGUUGAAAAAUUAGCGGAUGACCUGUGGCUGGGGGUGAAAGGCCAAUCAAACCGGGAGAUAGCUGGUUCUCCCCGAAAGCUAUUUAGGUAGCGCCUCGUGAAUUCAUCUCCGGGGGUAGAGCACUGUUUCGGCUAGGGGGCCAUCCCGGCUUACCAACCCGAUGCAAACUGCGAAUACCGGAGAAUGUUAUCACGGGAGACACACGGCGGGUGCUAACGUCCGUCGUGAAGAGGGAAACAACCCAGACCGCCAGCUAAGGUCCCAAAGUCAUGGUUAAGUGGGAAACGAUGUGGGAAGGCCCAGACAGCCAGGAUGUUGGCUUAGAAGCAGCCAUCAUUUAAAGAAAGCGUAAUAGCUCACUGGUCGAGUCGGCCUGCGCGGAAGAUGUAACGGGGCUAAACCAUGCACCGAAGCUGCGGCAGCGACGCUGAUGCGUUGUUGGGUAGGGGAGCGUUCUGUAAGCCUGCGAAGGUGGCCUGUGAGGGUUGCUGGAGGUAUCAGAAGUGCGAAUGCUGACAUAAGUAACGAUAAAGCGGGUGAAAAGCCCGCUCGCCGGAAGACCAAGGGUUCCUGUCCAACGUUAAUCGGGGCAGGGUGAGUCGACCCCUAAGGCGAGGCCGAAAGGCGUAGUCGAUGGGAAACGGGUUAAUAUUCCCGUACUUGGUGUUACUGCGAAGGGGGGACGGAGAAGGCUAUGUUGGCCGGGCGACGGUU